UUAGAGUAAAUUUAGGGCCAAGGACUUAACCCAGAGGAUCCAGCAGUUAAGGAAGGACCUGUGAAUAGAGAAGAAAUAACCAGAAAGGUGUGGGGCCUGCCUUUAAAGGAGAGAGACUCAUGUCCUGGACGCUAAGAAAAGGAAGUUUCUAAAAGAACAAUGUGGUCAUCAAUAUCAAAUAGGUCAGGUAAAACAAGAGCUGAAAUAUAUGCAUUGCAUUUGAAAGUAAGGCUGCCAUGGGUGAACCAAAUGACAAGAAUUUAGGUGGAAUGACAGGGGAGAAGCCUGAGUGUAGUGGGCUGGGGAGUCAAUAGAUGGUGAGAGUUAUAAACAAGAAGUACAGGCUUCUUUUCUUUUCUUUCUUUCUUUUAUUUUCUUUCUAGAAAAGGCAGUAGCUAAAAGGGGAUUUAAGGUAAGAAGAAGGGUUUUGUUUUGUUUUGUUUAGGUUUGUUUUUAAAAUACUGCUGUUUUUGUGGGAGAGGCUUAAGAAUAUAAACAUGUUCAGAGAAAGGCACUAAUGGAGAAGUUGAAGAUAGAGAAUUGAGAUAAUAGGUGGAACAGCAUUUUGGAGGAGAUGGCUGGGAGUUACCUGGAAGCCCAGGAGUUCACUAGACCUGAACAGCAGCUAUUUUUUCUUCUUUGCCCUUAGACUGAACAAGAGACCCUUCUGCUGAGUACAGCCUGUGCUCCCACCCAGGAACACCCCCUGCCUAAUGACAGCACCUUCCUGGGAAGCAUCUUGACAGCAGUGGCAGAUGAAGAACCAGAAUCAACUCCUGUACCCUUGCUUGGAAGUGACAAGAGUGCUUUCACUCGAGUAGCAUCAAUGGUUUCCCUUCAGCCCGCAGAGACCCCAGGCAUGGAGGAGAGCCUGGCAGAAAUGAGUAUUAUGACUAUUGAGCUUCAGAGUCUUUGUUCCCUGCUACAAGAGUCU
rnacentral:sRNA from 1 species